UGUAUCUAAUUUGGGUUACUGCUCUUGUUCUUCAACAAAAUUCCUGUUUAAAAGAAACCCACUUAUACCGUAUCGAUCUAUCUGUCUUUCUCUUCUCUCCCCCAUGAAUAAUUUCACAGAGAGAGAAGAAAAAGGUAGAAUUUCCAAGAAAGGCACUGAUUCAAAAGAAAAGACUCCCUGUUAAAUACUCCAAUUCCAUACAAAUGUAAACGUAAUGAAUACGGAUCCUUGUGAACCGUAGAUGAUUCUGUGGGGUCCGGUUUAGUUGCUGAGCCAUGGAGGGGGCGGUGGUGCUAGCUAUGGUCCAUGGACCUCCAAAAAGUCAAGAAAGAAGAAUAAAGAAGAGAGAGAAAAUAAAAAGGAAUUUAAUAAGAAGAAUACAAGCGUCAUUAUCGUAGAAUGAGGUACGGAAAAAGAGAGAUUUAUUUAGGAGAAAUAAAAUAGUAGUACUAGUAAUAACAAAUAGGGGCUGUUUGUAUACGGCGAAAGGAAACGCAUCGCACGGAUAUGUUGUGAUUCCUCUUUGGUUAGUUGGAAUAGUACGGAAUUGUCCAAUAUGGAUGAAUGAAAAUGUAAUUUUAUGGGUAAAUAGUUUAUAUUUGUUUGAUUAAAAGUUUGAUUCGAACAUUCAAAAUAUAAAUGAGUCAAAUAUGAAUAAAUUUUAAAGUUCGAUAAAUUACUCGACUAUCCUAAAAUUAUAAUUUUUUAUUGAUACUCGGAUCAUAUUCGUUCGAAAAAUUCAAACCGUUCGGGCUCGAUUCAAAAUCGUACCCAACUCGGUAGCCAAAUGAUUCUCAAUCAAACCUUAUUUAUACUCGAUAAAUUUUGUGAAUCAAAUUUAAGUAAUUCAAUACUCAGCUCGACUCGAUUCAUUUAUACCCUUACAUGAAAAUAUAAGAGAAAUUUUAGAAAAUAAAAUUAUUAUUUUUUUUAAAAAAAAGCAUCUUCCGAGUAUCGUUCUUUAAAUGGCUAAGAAACUAUAGAUCAAUUUUAUUUAACAAAUAUUUAAUCAAUUAUAAAUGCAAAAUGUUCAAAUAAAAAGGACAUACGUCACUAUAUAAGUUUGGGUAUGAAGUUAAAACUAACAUGCAAGUUAAAGGAGAAUAAAUGUUCUCAACUUUUAUUUAAACCUUACUAUGAAAGAAUAAUGUUAGAGACAUAACUUACUUUAUAAUUAUUUUAUAAUUUGUUGUUGUAGUAUAUUUUAUCUCAACUGUUAUGUGAGAUCGAAGAAUACAUUGAAGCAAUUUGUUCAUCGAUAUGCUGAAGUAGAGUAUGCCACAUUAACAAAUUAUAAAAUAAUUAUAGAAUAAAUUAUGUCUCUAAUAUAACUUAUUAUGAAAUACAAUUAAUAAAAAUAGAGAUCCACUCUAUAAUAUAAAAUAAAAAGAUUCAAAAUAAAUGACUUUAGCUCUAUAAAAAGAAUUAAUUCUUAAAAAUACAUGUCACAUCGAGGUAGUUGAGAAGAAAAAACUAGAAAAUCUAUUUACCAUCACCUCAAUUACAACAAAGUAUUUUUUAUUUGCCUUCUAAACUUUGUUUAUAGCUUUAAAAUCUUUCAAAAUUGGAGUAAAAUGGGAGAAAAAGAGUCGAGCCAUUGGGAUAGAGAGUGAGAAUGAUGUACAGCUAUUGAACCUUAUGGCCCAACAAACAUGUAAGUCAUAAGUCAUAACUGUUAUGGGCUCCAACACUAAAACACGUGAAACUUAACCUUUUUUUCGGACCAACGGAACAUGUGAUCUGGUGUUGGGCACAGAUAGGAUAGGAAGGCUUUUAUUAUUCAGAAGUUAUUACCUCUACGGGCUACAUUUUACUUCACUUUUAUCUCCAUAUAAUAUUAGACAGUACUUUACUUUUAAAUAAUUGCAACCCGAAAAAGUUGGAACUGAUUAGAAUAAAGUUUAUUUUUGGGUAAAUUGAUGAAUUGAUCAAUAGAGUGCUGAUACACAGACGAGACUCUAUGUGUGUCAGCAUUCUAUUGGUCAAUUGACCAACUUAUCAAAAAAAUAAACUGCAUACUAACCGAAUCCGAAAAAGUUACAAUGUGAGAACUCGAGUAGAUUUUAUUUUAGUGUCAAACCAGACAUUGAUUAAUCAUAUAGGAUGUAUUAUGUGGGUAGAAUAUUGAUCAAUACUGUUUUAUCAAAUUUUUGGCGAUUACUUUUGAUACCACAUACCGAACAAACAAAUAUUUCAUGCCAUUUGCACCUUUCACUAAGGUAAAUCAUAAUUACCAUUAUAUAUUGUUUGGGUGUGCACUAUUGAGCAAUGAGAUUGAUGAUACAUUUGUAUGGUUAUUUGAGCGGUGGCUUGAAGCAAUUAAUGAAUUUCAAAUCUCAUAAGCAUUGUCAUUGAUCAAGAUCGUGCUAUGUCGAAUGCAAUUGCUAGGGUUUUUUUUCUCAUACCCACCAUGCAUUGUGUUCGUGGCAAAUUAGUAAAAAAUAUCCUAAAAAAUUUGACCAUGUCUAUUUUUCGUAUUUGACUUUUAAGUCAGAUUUUAACUACUUUAUCUUCAAGUCUUUGAGUAUACAAGAAUUUGAGAAUAAAUGUAAAUUGUUGAUGGAAAACUACGGACGGCAUAAUCACGAAUGGUUGAAAUGUUUAUAUGAAUUAAAAGAAAAAUGGGUCGGGGUAUAUUCAAAAAAAUUCUAUGCAGCGAAAAUGACUACCACAAAGCUAAAAUGUAAAUAGUAGUCGCAGGGGUCGCCUAUACUCCCGACGUUGAUCGUCUUAUUCUCUCUUGAUUAUGGCAUGUACAUUCAAUCUUCUCCCUUUUGUGCAAAGAAUCUAUGAAAGUCUGAAGACUAUGUGGAGACUCGAAGAUUGGGAAGGUAUAGAGUAAAGGUAUAUCUAAGUGGUCUUCAAUAAGGUAGAACAAGAGUCCUACUUGUAAUAUUAUGAUCAGUUCUAUAAAUAUUCAAAUUGUGCGGAUAUAUAUAUAUAUAUAUNNNNNNNNNNNNNNNNNNNNNNNNNNNNNNNNNNNNNNNNNNNNNNNNNNNNNNNNNNNNNNNNNNNNNNNNNNNNNNNNNNNNNNNNNNNNNNNNNNNNUCAAGCUUGUGCAGGUAUGCCCUCAAUGAACCCUCUGAGAGAUAUUCUGUGAUGAUGCAGAAGACUGGUGGCUUUCUGCAUGCCGCUACGAACUGCAAGUAAAAGGAUAAAAAUAUCAGAAGAAUCCAACAAGAAACCCUAUGUUACAUGGACUCAGGUGUACGUCCGGGCGAAUAAUCUUUGUGGCUCCCAAAUUAGGAUACGGAAAGUGUCCAAAUGAAGGCUAUGUAUAGGUGGGGCAUGUCUUUCAUGAUUAAAUUCAAUAUAAUUUAGAUAAUUUUCUACUAUUAAUGUUAAAAGAUAUACAUUACUAAGGUUUAUAUCAGAUGGGAUGUUGUGGAGAAGGAGUUUCAACUUUUUCUUCACUAAAGAAGUAAGAAUCUUUCAUUAUUCAAUAAUACAAUCUUUUACUUUUUAUUCCACAUACAUAUAAGAGAUUGGAGCACCAAUUCCGCACAAGGUUGUCGGACACAUAUCCCAUAACCUUGACCAGGUUUACAAUGUCCCACCCGUGUAGUUCAACCACUAAGAAGUCCAUGCAACAUAGAAAUAAACAUUUUCCAGACAAUCUCACAAUUGAUACACGAUGCCGUGAUGCAGGUCCCAACAAUAUUUUGUAGGAAGGCCAUCUGGUUAAUUCGUUAAUUUAUAAAUUACACCAAUGGAAAAUGAUAAAAGCUCAAAUGUCGAUCAGUUUCUGCCAUUACAAAUCAGUUAAUGGUAGAUAAUUAUUACUACUUGUAAAAAAAAGUACAUAGAUUUUUAAGAUACAGAUAUUAUUAGUUGUGCACCUGCCGGACUUCCACAAUCAGGGGUGAGGAUAUGAGCAGUUACCUUUAUGACAUUUUGGUGGUGCAGUCGAGUCAAAAGAUUUACUUCUCUUCUGAACUGCUUCUCUAACCGAGCUCCAAGGGCUCCAUCUUCGUCAUCAUCCGGAACCCUGAUAAUUUUUACAGCAACAGGUUCAUUCUUAUAAAUCCCAUGGUAAAGUUGACUAUGUGCUCCAUGAGCAAAUCUAAGCCCGAGGAAUAGCUUAGAAAGAUCAACCACACAUUCAUCUGCUGAUUCUACAGAGGUAACCUUUCCUCCACCAUGAUCAAAAUACUUUGUCCAUGUGUCCUUCCGGCUCUUUGAUUUAUCAUGAAAUUUCAUAGAAGUGAAGUGCUUUAGCGAGCUGACAUGGGAGGGUGACUUCGACUCAGGUCCCCUCUUUUCAUGGGAAUCUUUGCAGAACAACUUGCCCACAAUUCCCUUUUCAGCUUCUUUUCUUAUUGGAUGUGGAGUUGAGAAUCUCCUCCGCUCAGACCUAGCUUCCUUAAAUGUCUGCGAAAGUUUAGUUUCAGGAAGUGGUGAUACAGCCCUAGGCUUGUUCGUGCUAGGAUUUAGCUGAAUAUGUGUAACUCUGGGUCCUGCUUUUUGAAUAACAGUCUCCGUUCCAGGUCCCGAUUUGACACCUGAAAUUAGGUCCGACUGAAUGGUGAAAGGAGCUGAGCCCAAUCUGGCAGCUUCCAACCGAUGAUAAAUGGUGUGAGAAUACUUUGUUCUUCUUAUCCAUGAAGCCUCUUCCCCCAUUUUUGGCCCCACUAAAUGACCUGGUAACCACAAAUAGUAUUGUUCUUCUCCUAAUUCAGAAGAAUAGACGGUUCAAAAUCAAGAUCUUCCUCCAAAGAAUCUAUGUCAUUUGCAAAGCUCCAUGUAACAAUUUUUUCUAAACCAUCAAUAGGACAAAAGUAAAGAAUCCAAAGCCACAUCAACGGAAAUAUUAAAGCCCUUCAAAAUCCAUGAAUACAGAAACCAAAGACCAUACCAACAUAAUCUAAUCAAAUAAUCCUACAAAGCCCAACUCACAAACACAUAUGAAAGAGAAUGAUCUCAAGCCUUAACCUAUUCACCAAAUAUAAGAAAAACUUGAUCUUUUUAAGCAAUCGGAAUGAAAUCCCUCAGAAACUAUCAAAACUCAUCAAGAACCAUCAAAAUCAGCAGAAUUUUGAGCUCAACCAAACCUCAUCCAAAACAACAAACCCUUUUAGCCUCAAAGUCAAAUACAACCUACCUUGAAAGACUGGAAAUCCCCACAUACAAACACAUAAAAAAUUAAACAAUUAACUAGCAAAUCAAUAUAAUAAACCCAAAGCGAAAAGUAUACUCAAUUAAAUUGAAAAUAAAGAUCCAAAUACAUUGAACUUACCAAAAGGGUGUAUCUAAUUUGGGUUACUGCUCUUGUUCUUCAACAAAUUUCCUGUUUAAAGGAAACCCACUUAUACCAUAUCGAUCUAUCUGUCUUUCUCUUCUCUCCCCCAUGAAUAAUUUCACAGAGAGAGAAGAAAAAGGUAGAAUUUCCAAGAAAGGCACUGAUUCAAAAGAAAAGACUCCCUGUGAAAUACUCCAAUUCCAUACAAAUGUAAUCGUAAUGAAUACGGAUCCUUGUGAACCGUAGAUGAUUCUGUGGGGUCCGGUUCAGUUGCUG
rnacentral:lncRNA from 1 species